rnacentral:rRNA from 1 species
UACGUAGGGUGCGAGCGUUAAUCGGAAUUACUGGGCGUAAAGCGUGCGCAGGUGGUUUGCUAAGACCGAUGUGAAAUCCCCGGGCUCAACCUGGGAACUGCAUUGGUGACUGGCAAGCUAGAGUAUGGCAGAGGGGGGUAGAAUUCCACGUGUAGCAGUGAAAUGCGUAGAGAUGUGGAGGAAUACCGAUGGCGAAGGCAGCCCCCUGGGCCAAUACUGACGCUCAUGCACGAAAGCGUGGGGAGCAAACAGG